CAAAUAGUCAAGCCGAGCGUAUGGUUCAAACUACCAAAGACUCAUUAAAGAGAAUUAUUGAAGGAAAUUGGAAUCGUAGACUUGCAAAUUUCCUUCUGCAACAACAUUUGACACCUUGCUCAAGCACUGGUAGUAGUCCAGCAGAGCUCCUUAUGAACCGGCAUCUUAAAACUUGUCUGGAUCGUUUACAUCCUGAUUUGACAUCUGAGUUACAAG